rnacentral:rRNA from 1 species
GACGAACGCUGGCGGCGUGCUUAACACAUGCAAGUCGAACGGACCCUUUGGGGUUAGUGGCGAACGGGUGAGUAACACGUGGGUGAUCUGCCCUGCACUUUGGGAUAAGCCUGGGAAACUGGGUCUAAUACCGGAUAGGACUACGCACUGCAUGGUGUGUGGUGGAAAGCUUUUGCGGUGUGGGAUGGGCCCGCGGCCUAUCAGCUUGUUGGUGGGGUGAUGGCCUACCAAGGCGACGACGGGUAGCCGGCCUGAGAGGGUGACCGGCCACACUGGGACUGAGAUACGGCCCAGACUCCUACGGGAGGCAGCAGUGGGGAAUAUUGCACAAUGGGCGCAGGCCUGAUGCAGCGACGCCGCGUGAGGGAUGACGGCCUUCGGGUUGUAAACCUCUUUCGCCAGGGACGAAGCGCAAGUGACGGUACCUGGAGAAGAAGGACCGGCCAACUACGUGCCAGCAGCCGCGGUAAUACGUAGGGUCCGAGCGUUGUCCGGAAUUACUGGGCGUAAAGAGCUCGUAGGUGGUUUGUCGCGUUGUUCGUGAAAACUCACAGCUUAACUGUGGGCGUGCGGGCGAUACGGGCAGACUGGAGUACUGCAGGGGAGACUGGAAUUCCUGGUGUAGCGGUGGAAUGCGCAGAUAUCAGGAGGAACACCGGUGGCGAAGGCGGGUCUCUGGGCAGUAACUGACGCUGAGGAGCGAAAGCGUGGGGAGCGAACAGGAUUAGAUACCCUGGUAGUCCACGCCGUAAACGGUGGGUACUAGGUGUGGGUUUCCUUCCUUGGGAUCCGUGCCGUAGCUAACGCAUUAAGUACCCCGCCUGGGGAGUACGGCCGCAAGGCUAAAACUCAAAGGAAUUGACGGGGGCCCGCACAAGCGGCGGAGCAUGUGGAUUAAUUCGAUGCAACGCGAAGAACCUUACCUGGGUUUGACAUGCACAGGACGCCGGCAGAGAUGUCGGUUCCCUUGUGGCCUGUGUGCAGGUGGUGCAUGGCUGUCGUCAGCUCGUGUCGUGAGAUGUUGGGUUAAGUCCCGCAACGAGCGCAACCCUUGUCUCAUGUUGCCAGCACGUUAUGGUGGGGACUCGUGAGAGACUGCCGGGGUCAACUCGGAGGAAGGUGGGGAUGACGUCAAGUCAUCAUGCCCCUUAUGUCCAGGGCUUCACACAUGCUACAAUGGCCGGUACAAAGGGCUGCGAUGCCGUGAGGUGGAGCGAAUCCUUUCAAAGCCGGUCUCAGUUCGGAUCGGGGUCUGCAACUCGACCCCGUGAAGUCGGAGUCGCUAGUAAUCGCAGAUCAGCAACGCUGCGGUGAAUACGUUCCCGGGCCU